rnacentral:lncRNA from 1 species
UUUUAAAGUUGAAAUGCGUUAUUUAUCUUUACAAAUUUAAUUAGUAAAAUUUCAUGCAAUUCUCACAACUAAAAUUCAUUAAAGUAAGUGAUAGCUUUAAUUUUUACGUUAAAAUGUUGUUAAUUAACUCAUGUCAAACAAAUUAAAAGGAUCGAUGGGUAGUAAAAUCAAAAUUAUGAAAGGUUGAGUAAACGAUUCAAAAUGGUUUAUAGUUCAAAUAAAUUUUGUAUGUUUUUACAGAUUUAGUUAAUAUAUUUUAUGCAAUUUUGGCAACUAUAAAUGAAUUAAAGUAGGUAGCUUAAAUUUUUAGAUUAAAGUGUUGUCGACUGCUCAAAUCAAACAAAUUAAAGGUUGAGUAGUUAAAUUGAAAUUAUAAAGAGUUAAGGAAUCGAUUCAAAAUGGUUUACAGUUUAGAUAAUUCUUGCAUGUUUUUACUUUCGUAAAUUUUCAUGAGGGUUUUCUUAUUGCCAACAAUCUUUUUAAUGUUAUAUUCUACAAGUAAAAACGUACAAAAUUUGUCUGAACUAUGGAUCAUUUUUAAUCAACUGUCCAAUCUUUCAAACUUUUGAUUUACUACCCAACCAUUCAAUUUGUUUGAUUUGAAUUAGUCAACUGCAUUUUGAUUUCAAAAUUUAAAUUACUUGCUUUAAUAAAUUUAUAGUUGUCAGAAUUGCUUGAAAUAUACUAACUAAACUUGUAAACAUAACCGUUGAUUUCAAAUUUGACAUUAAAGUGUUGUUAAUUGAUUCAAAUCAAACAAAUUGAAAGAUUAUAUAGUAAAAUUAAAUUUUUAAAAGAUUGGGUAGUCAAUUUAAAAUGAUUUAUUAUUCAGAUAAGUUCUAUAUAUUUUUGCCUAUUAUAAAAGGAAUAAGGAGACAGAUA